GGCUGCGCAGGAGCGGACAGCGGAGAGGCGGUACUGACCGGUGCGAGGCGGUGCUGACCGGUGCGGGCCGGUGCGGGCCAGUGCAGGCCAGGCCCGGCCGGGGCGAGGCAGGUGGCCAGGUCCGAGGACCGCGUCGCACAGCAGCUUUCAGGACCUGGAGAGAAAUCGAGACCCUGAUUCCUAGCCCUGGAGGCCAUCCAGAGCAUCUCAUCCAGGGAGCCGAGAGGUCCUUCCACCACCCCGCUGGGGUCCAGCGCAGCUGGGCCAGGAGAAGGGUGGUACAUCACUCCUGCGAGUCGAAGGCGAGACAGUGUGUGAAUGGGGCCUGGACUGCCCAAUUCCCUCUACCAAAGCAACUAGAACCUUCUUCUGCAUUAGGUGAUGGGUACCUGCGUGAGCUGUCAUUUGAAGACAGGGUUCCAGAGCACAAACAAAUUGGAGCCCCUGGUCCUCUCAGCUGGCAUCUGUGGAUUUGGCCUGCCUGGCGGGCCAGGCCAAUCAGAGAAGAGAAUGCCCUAUUGGGCACAGUGAUUGGGGCUCUGGCAUGGUCACAUGACAUGAGACAAGCCAAUAAGCAUGGAUCCUGAGAUUCUGCUUGGCGUCUCCUGGGCUGUACUUCCUGCUUUGUGCUGGGAUUGGGGCCAUGCGGCUGUAAGUCCAGAGCUACUGCAGGCCUCUUGCCACUGUGGGGAACCCAGCCUAGGAUGAAGCACAGGAAUGGAAACAGCUGAAAGAAGCAAGACACAGGGUCCUGACCACAUCUGUUGGAGCCUGGAUCCAACCUUGCCUGGAUCUGCAACCACUACUGAGCUUUUCAUGUACUUGGUGCCAAUAUAUUCCAUGUCUCCAUUUUUAAAAGUAAAUUUGAGUUGGAUGUCCUUUUGCAACUAAAACAAUCCUGACCUAUAUAUUCUUUGGCAUUGUCCCUGUAGAGAAAACUGAGACCCACAGAGGGAAAGUGACUUGCCCAAAGUCAUCCAGUGAACUGGUAACAGACCCAGCCAGAAGUCUCCUGCCUGUAGCCAGCACUCACUUCCCACGGUUUCCCAUGCUUUAACCUGGACAGUAUGGCUUCUGGGAAGCAUAAGCCAGGAGGGGGCAAGGAGCCCCCUGCUUGGGCAGGGAAGGGUGAGCCAGUUCUUCCACCCCUGCAGCAGGGGUCCUGUCUCUGCCAUGGCGGCACCUGUGGGCAAGGAGGGAGCCAGCACAGUCAGAAAUGAGCUCAGUGGUGAAGGCGUCUUCCCACCACUGCAGAACCCAGAGCUCCAUAUCGGAGGUGUGUCAGUGCCCAGCUUAUGCUGAAAUUCAGCUAUUCAUGGAGCCGCAGAGUUCCAGGGGGUCCCUUGGCAUCUAUGAUGAAGAAGGGAAGUCACUUGCUUCAUGGCCAGGGAAGGGCUCCAGCAAGACAUGGGCUCCUGAAAGUGACAGUGUGUGAAGGCCCGGAGAGGCACAGGACCUGUCCCCUCGCCCUCCUUGGAUUGCAGCAAGGAAAGAGGUGUGUCUUCCGCAGAAAAAUGUGCAUGUUCUUUUAGAUGUGUGGCCUCCGAGCAAGGUAUUUAGCCUGCCUCUAUGUGCUCACCUGGAAAAUGGGGUGAUGAAGAAGAUGAUGAUGAUAAUGGGAACUCCCUCUUGGAGCUGCUGUGCAGAUGAAUUUUCCUUCUAACAGUCAGGCCCCUCUGCUGCAAGUCUGCUGGAGUUUUCUGGAGGUCCACUCCAGACCUUGUUUGCCUGGGUAUCACCAGCCGAGGCUGCAGAACAGCAAAGAUUGCUGCCUGUUCCUUCCUUUGGAAGCUUUGUCCCAGGGAGGCACCCACCAGAUGCCAGCUGGAGCUCUUCUGUAUAAGGAAAAGUGGGCAAGUUUUGAGUUCAACGUGAGGCCUCAAGGAUGUGUGCAACCCAUGGUACUUGAAUUUACUUAUUGACUGUUUUUUGGAAAUCCUUAUUUCCCAAAACUCGUGGAAGGAGCUGACUUCUGGCAGGAAACGUGGAACUGGCAGCGUGUCGUGCAAGCAUCUGCAAUCCCAGUCCUGAGCUGGACUUCUCAGAGAGGCUGGGCAUUAUUUAUGGAGAUGUCGGAGUGACAGGGGGAACUUCUGGCCAGGAACUGCCGGUGGUGUCACAUCCUUAACCUGGCUGACAUCGGAACACCCUGGGGGGAGCAUUUCUCCAGGAAAGGAUGGUGGGUCAGGAGCCCGCAUGGUGUCUUUUCAAAGCAAUAAUAAAGAUAUCAGAAGGGCAAUCUGUCAGGCACAGACACUACUGGGCCUUGCUGAAGCUGGGCAGAUGGUGCAGAGGAGAAGAACAGGGCUGGGAACCAGAUGUUUCAUUUCCUGAAAAUAGACAUGUCAGGUCUUCGGGGCUGUCAGAUGCCCCCUCAUUAGCCCAUCAGCCUAAAUGGAGCCAUUGAGCACUGACAUCUCACUCAGCUGUGGCACCUGGCAGAGGACCCAGGCCCAGAGCUGUCCAGCCUGGGGCCCUGGCCUGGGGUCUGAAAAGGCCGGUAAGGGGCAGCUACAGUGGACAGUCCUUUCCCCUCUACAGAUGAGGAAACUGAGGCCAAGAGAGGGGACGGUGCUUCAAAGAGUGGCAGCGAUUCAAUGGCAGAGAUGGAAUGGACCAGGUUUCAGCUCAGGGGUUCAUAGAAUUUCAGUGCUCAGAGUCUUUGGGAACCCAUACGAGAGGGCUUCUGGUUGGUUCAGAUGCUCCUGAGUUGUUCUGGAGCUGCCCUGCCCCUUCCUAUUUUUGCCAUAUCCUCGGGAGACUUGUCUUUGGGCUCAUCUUACUUCAAGCACACUCACGUUUUUCCACUUAAGCAAAUGGAAACUUGAUAAACUGCCUUCAACAACAACAACCCCAAACCCAGCAUCACACACCAUGCAUGCAAGGCAGUGUGUGAUGAACACACUGAACAAUGAACCCAGUGAUUUCUAAGGAGUGGUGACGAAUGCUGGCGAGCAUGUGUCUCAGGAUGCCAAGCCUGAGGUCCAUUCCCUUGGCUAAUAAAGGUGGUGGGCGGACAUUGGAGGGCACUAGAGACAGGCUGGCAGCAACCGAGACCUUCCCUAUGCAGCAGUCAGCGGGAGGAGGAGAUCAUGGACCUUCUCAUCAGGCAGGCUCACAUUACUUAGUGUUCUGGUCCCAUCUAAUGGCAUAUUUUGGGAAACUUGGGGAACCCAGGCCCAAAGAAGAGGGGGCAAGUUCUUAAAGACCCACAGCAGGAGGCUGGUUCUGAAAGACUCAUGGCUAGGGGGCUGGCUCCGCUUUCCAGAGACCACCAGGUGCUGGUGACCACACAGAGAGACACACAGACAGACACACAGAUACCAACACACACAGACACAGUCACGCACACACAGAGACACAUCCAUGGAAGCACACAGAUGCACACACAUGCACACACACACACACACAGGUGCAACCAGAUGCAGACACACAGAUGCACAUGGACACACACACAGACACAGACAGAGACACAUGCACACAGAUGCACACAGAUACACACACAGACACACAGGCACACAGACACACACACACACCACGUAACCGUGACCCUGGGGGAAGCGCCUGCCCUCUCUGGGACUCAGUUUUCUCAUCAGUACAAUAGGAACCAUAACUCUCCCUUUUCUAGGUUGGUCGUGAGCUGUCAUUGGGUCAUUCAACAAAUACUUGCUGGACAUUGGGUGUGAGGCAUGUAGUAGGUGCUCAACAUACAGAACCUCCUUCACCUCUCAAAAGAGGCUCUGACCUAUGAAGCACCAGGUAUCAGCGCCCACUCUGCAGCAGCACAUGGCCAAGGCUUUACCUGCCUGUGCUCAUUUGUCUGCCACUCCUUAUGCUGGGUGCCAUCUAACCAUCUAACCCAUGAGGAAACUGAGGCUCCCAUUCAUGAAGUCGUGUGCUCAGGCAUGAACAGGCGCUCUGGACAGUAAAUAAGCUGGAGGCUCCUGGCAGGCAGAGGUAGCUCUGAGACUAAGAUAUGGACCUUGGGACCCAGGAAAUAGAGGCCCAGGGAGAACAGCCUCGCCUAGGGCCACCCACCCUCUAUGUGAGCAUCCAAGCUGCCUGCUGGUAAUUCCAGAUUCAGGGAGCUGAAUUUCCAGCCCUGGGAGAAGAGCAAAGCCUGUCUCCGAGCCCCUUGGGGGAGAAGAUGUGUAAUUAUUUCUGCCGAUUGAAUACUCUGACAAAAAAAAAGAGGGAGGAGGGAACAAUUUGCCCCGCUUUGCAGGCCGCUGGUAUUUCUCUUGCAAUGAGCACUGCAGCCCGAGACGCUGUAAUUAGGCUUUGUAAUAACAGGCUCGGUCGCUCCCGCGCCCUGUCAGGGAGAAGAAUCCAUCUUACAGGUAAUUGUAGGGUUGGCGGUCUCUGAACGUCUCUUUCCGCUAGCCUGGGCCUUUCCUGGGGGUGGCUGGCAGGGCUUUCUGAGUGAACACUGCCUGGGCCGGGGUGCAGGGAGGGGUGGGGGUGGGGACAAGUCUGGAGAAGCCUCCCUAAGAGGUGGGAUGAGGAACUUCUCUGCCCCACUCCUGGUUAUCUUCUGGUCCAAGCCCCCAGCCCCUGCCUGGAUCGUUGCCACAGCCUCUCAAUUCACCCUCCUGUGCUCCCACCACCCUCCUAUGAUCCCUUUUCCUGAUGCAGCCAGAAUGCAUGCAGCUAAACUGGAAGUCACGGCACCUUCCUCCUCUGCUCCACACCCUCCAUGGCUCCCACCUUCCUCGGAGGCAGAGACAAAACCCUCCCUCAGGCUGCAGGCCCACAUCAUCUGGCCUGACCCUCUCUAUCUACUUCCCCUGGCUCACUCUGCCUCAGGCCCACGGCGUCCUAUUUCCUGAGCACGUGCCCUCUCAUCCUCACCUCAGGGCCUUUGCACGGGCUGCUCCCUCCUCCGGUGGUGCCUCUUCUCCAGAUGCUUGCUCCCUCACCUCCUUCAGGUCCUGGUUCGAUGCUCCUUUCUCAGGGGCAUUCACUCGGGCCUCCAGCACUUCCUAUUUCCCUGUUCUACUUCAUUUUUCUUCGUAGUUCUCACCCCUAACUCACCAUAUAUUUUACUCAUAACUUUCUUCCCCACAAGGCUGUCAGCUCCAUGAGGUCAGAGGUUUUUCUCUGGCUGGUUCACUGCGGUACCCCCAGUGGUGAAAACAGUGCCUGUCACGUAGUAGGUGCUUAAUAAAUGACACAACUCACUUCACUCGCAGCACAUGCUCCCCUUCUUCACUGAAAGUUCUGGUCACCACCGAGCCUCCAUGCAGAGGCACUCUCCUCCAGGAAGCCUGCCUGGAAUCUCCCAUGGGGAACACUUGCCUGCUCUCCCCUCAGCCAUUAUCUGUUCCUGAGCCUGUUGCUGUGGCCUCCUCUGGGGCAGAUCCAAGGCCGAGUGUCCUCUGUAUCUCUAGGAACCAGCAUACUCUCAAUGGAGAGUGUCCCACGGCCAGGCACUGUGCUGUGGGCCCACCUGAAUCCUCUCACUUCAUCUCAAAGUAACCCCAUGAGAGAGGCAUUAUUACCAUCAUCCCCAUUUUGCCAAAAACAGAGGCUCUUUUAGCCAGUGGGGUCCAGACUAUUUUGAUAGCACACGCUUAUCAGCAAAAAAAAAAUCCAACUUGAUAUAGAUCCCCAUGUUCUGCCAUCUAUUCAUUUAUAAAUUAUGUGCUAGUUUUUAUUUAUAUGUAUACAGUUUAUAUUUAUUUUAUCAAAUAAUAUAUUAAAACAUUGAAUAAACAUUUAUAUUUGUAAAAAUAGGUGCUAAUAGCUAUACAAACAAUUGCAUAAAACAUAAUAUUAAAGAGAUGGAUAAAGAGAAAGAUGUACUUAUGUAUUCUUCCUUUCCACCAUGGAUCAUGCCCAGCCUCUGGGCCUGCAUAUCCCAUUUUGGAGCUCAAUAUGCUGUGGAAAGGUGAAGCAAGGAGUGAGGGCAGGAGUGAAUGCGCGUGAACCAUGGUGUUUAGGAGCAGAGGCUUUGGAACCAGAUUGCUUUGUUGCCUUCGUCACUUAUUAGCUGUGUGUCUUUGGGCAUGUUGCUUAACCUCUCUGAGCCACGGCUUUCUCAGUGGGCAUGGUAAUAGCCUCAACUUCAGAGGGCUGUGGUGAGGAUUAAAUGAGAUCAUUUAUAUAGGUGCUUGAAACAGGGCCUGGAAUCUUGUUAGGUGUUGCUAUUGGGAAAAUAUUUCAUCCUGGAAAUAAGGCUGAAAAAAAUAGCGGCAGUCAGAAAGGGAAAGACUGAGAAUUCAGGAAAGAAAGCUUGUCAUCAGUUCCCUGAAUUCCUUGUUAAUGCUGAUGUGCACCUGGAGUGAAAGCCCUCUUUUCAGUCAGCAUGUGACAAGAGUGGGUGGACUAGGUUGUGUGUGACCAGACCAACUUCCCCAUCUGCACAAUGGGAGAGCAGUGCACAGUGGCUGGGCUGGGAGAUGUGGAUGGCCUAAUGGGAGUGAAAGGGCUUUGCUGGCCUGAGGAGGAGGUGGGGGCUCUGGAAGCCAGAGCUGCAAACCUGAGUGGCUUUUGGCCAAGUAUGUUUCUUGUGAGGGCCAUAAGUUAUUUACCCUUUGUCCAAAUUGCUGGCCCUGGAGCUGGGUGCAGUGGUGCAUACCUGUAGUCCCAGGAGGAGGCCUCUGAGGCUGAGGCGGGAGGAUCCCUUGAGGCUAGGAGUUUGAGGCCAGCCUGGGCAACAUAGAGAGACUGUCUCAAAACAUUUUCCCCCUGACUAAUCUGUGGGCAGGCUACAUGAGAAUCACCUAGAGGGCUGUUAAACAAAAACAAAACGAAUCCCAGGUCCUGUCCCAGCCCAUUGGAAUCACAGGAGUUAGGGCUCAGAAAUCUUUAUUUAUAACAAGUUCUCCCAGGAACUCUACAGCAUGGCUGAUUUGGAAAUGGUUGUAUUACAUAAUUCAUAUUACCUGCUUUAUGAUUUUUGAGAGACUAGGAAUCUCUCUCUAUGAGGGGUUAUGGACCAGUGGUCAGGGUUGGACAAGGCUAAAGUUCAAAUUUUAUUAGCAGUAUGAUCUUGGAUAUUUUAUUUCUUGCUCUGAGCUUCUUUUCUUUUCUUUUUUUUUUUUGAAACAGGGUCUCACUCUGUCACCCAGGCUGGAGUGCAGUGCCUAGAUAUUGGCUCACUGCAACCUCCGCCUCCUGGGCUCAAGCAAUCCUCCUGCCUCAGCCCCCUAAGUAGCUGGGGGUACAGGCUCAAGCCACCAUGCCUGUCUUAUUUUUGUAUUUUUAGUAGAGACAAGGUUUCACCAUGUUGGUCAGGCUGGUCUUGAACUCCUUAGCUGAAUCAUUCCACCUGCCUUGGCCUCCCAAAGUACUGGGAUUACAGGCAUGAGCCGCUGCACCUGGCCUCAGCUUCAGUUUUUUCACCUGUAAGAUGGGAAUAGUAAGAGCACAUAUUUUUUCUAGAAAAUGAGGUCUGAUUCUUCUGGCAGAGGUCUGUGUCGGAAAGGGCUUGAUAUGUAAGGAGGCACGGUUAUUGCUAUCAUCAUCAUCAUCAUCGUUAGUAGUUAUUAUUGUUGUAUUACAUGUAAAAUAUUUCUUCCAGGAAUUUAAAUUCAGAAAAGGUAAGAGCUUAGAUGUCACAGAAGAAAAAGCCCUUUGCCACCAGUUCAGAGCAAAACAGCAUGUAAGCCAUUUGCUAAACAGGUAGAGAGAACCCUCAAAGCAAAAUUGAAUCCUUCCUCCACCUUCGCAUGACUGUAACAGUGUCAUGUGUUGUGCGCAGGUGUCAAAACCCAUUAAUUGCCUCCUCUUUGUUUGCAAUAAAAGAAUGACUACAUACACAGAAUCAAAGGCUGAAAAUAAGACAGCCAUAUAUUGAAACACAGACACUAUUCUUCAAUGCAAACACAUUUUUAACUUUUCAGCAAACUUAAAAUGGCCUUAGCAUAAUUUGAUACUAGCAAAAUCAUGGAUAGAUAUAGCAACUCUAAAGUAUUUAGGGUUUUUUAAUUAUUUUUAUUUUUCAGAAAUUUUAUUUUGUUGAUUAGGAAAUAUAACAUGGUUCCUUCAAAUUUUAGGUGGAUAAAUUAUAAAAC
rnacentral:lncRNA from 1 species